rnacentral:rRNA from 1 species
AGAGUUUGAUCCUGGCUCAGGAUGAACGCUGGCGGCGUGCUUAACACAUGCAAGUCGAACGGAGGACCCUUGACGGAGUUUUCGGACAACAGAUAGGAAUCCUUAGUGGCGGACGGGUGAGUAACGCGUGAGGAACCUGCCUUGGAGAGGGGAAUAACACAGUGAAAAUUGUGCUAAUACCGCAUAAUGCAGUUGGGUCGCAUGGCUCUGACUGCCAAAGAUUUAUCGCUCUGAGAUGGCCUCGCGUCUGAUUAGGUAGUUGGUGGGGUAACGGCCCACCAAGCCGACGAUCAGUAGCCGGACUGAGAGGUUGACCGGCCACAUUGGGACUGAGACACGGCCCAGACUCCUACGGGAGGCAGCAGUGGGGAAUAUUGGGCAAUGGGCGCAAGCCUGACCCAGCAACGCCGCGUGAAGGAAGAAGGCUUUCGGGUUGUAAACUUCUUUUGUCAGGGACGAAACAAUGACGGUACCUGACAAUAAGCCACGGCUAACUACGUGCCAGCAGCCGCGGU